rnacentral:rRNA from 1 species
UGGGGAAUAUUGGGCAAUGGGGGAAACCCUGACCCAGCAACGCCGCGUGAGGGAAGAAGGUUUUCGGAUUGUAAACCUCUGUCCUAAAGGAAGAAAAAAAUGACGGUACUUUAGGAGGAAGCCCCGGCUAACUACGUGCCAGCAGCCGCGGUAAUACGUAGGGGGCGAGCGUUGUCCGGAAUUAUUGGGCGUAAAGGGUGCGUAGGCGGUCGCUUAAGUCAGAUGUGAAAAGCUGUGGCUCAACCAUGGGAGUGCAUUUGAAACUGGGUGACUUGAGUGCAGGAGAGGAAAGCGGAAUUCCUAGUGUAGCGGUGAAAUGCAUAGAUAUUAGGAGGAACACCAGUGGCGAAGGCGGCUUUCUGGACUGUAACUGACGCUGAGGCACGAAAGCGUGGGGAGCAAACA